rnacentral:rRNA from 1 species
AGUGAACGCUGGCGGCAGGCCUAACACAUGCAAGUCGAGCGGCAGCGCGUCCGACCACCCUCGGGUGGUCGGAUGGCGGCGAGCGGCGGACGGGUGAGGAAUGCAUCGGAAUCUGCCUCGUUGUGGGGGAUAACGUAGGGAAACUUACGCUAAUACCGCAUACGACCUACGGGUGAAAGUGGGGGACCUUCGGGCCUCACGCGAUGAGAUGAGCCGAUGCCGGAUUAGCUAGUUGGCGGGGUAAAGGCCCACCAAGGCGACGAUCCGUAGCUGGUCUGAGAGGAUGAUCAGCCACACUGGAACUGAGACACGGUCCAGACUCCUACGGGAGGCAGCAGUGGGGAAUAUUGGACAAUGGGGGCAACCCUGAUCCAGCCAUG